rnacentral:rRNA from 1 species
AGAGUUUGAUCCUGGCUCAGGAUGAACGCUGGCGGCGUGCCUAAUACAUGCAAGUCGAGCGAACAGACAAGGAGCUUGCUCCUUUGACGUUAGCGGCGGACGGGUGAGUAACACGUGGGUAACCUACCUAUAAGACUGGGAUAACUUCGGGAAACCGGAGCUAAUACCGGAUAAUAUUUCGAACCGCAUGGUUCGAUAGUGAAAGAUGGUUUUGCUAUCACUUAUAGAUGGACCCGCGCCGUAUUAGCUAGUUGGUAAGGUAACGGCUUACCAAGGCGACGAUACGUAGCCGACCUGAGAGGGUGAUCGGCCACACUGGAACUGAGACACGGUCCAGACUCCUACGGGAGGCAGCAGUAGGGAAUCUUCCGCAAUGGGCGAAAGCCUGACGGAGCAACGCCGCGUGAGUGAUGAAGGUCUUCGGAUCGUAAAACUCUGUUAUUAGGGAAGAACAUACGUGUAAGUAACUGUGCACGUCUUGACGGUACCUAAUCAGAAAGCCACGGCUAACUACGUGCCAGCAGCCGCGGUAAUACGUAGGUGGCAAGCGUUAUCCGGAAUUAUUGGGCGUAAAGCGCGCGUAGGCGGUUUUUUAAGUCUGAUGUGAAAGCCCACGGCUCAACCGUGGAGGGUCAUUGGAAACUGGAAAACUUGAGUGCAGAAGAGGAAAGUGGAAUUCCAUGUGUAGCGGUGAAAUGCGCAGAGAUAUGGAGGAACACCAGUGGCGAAGGCGACUUUCUGGUCUGUAACUGACGCUGAUGUGCGAAAGCGUGGGGAUCAAACAGGAUUAGAUACCCUGGUAGUCCACGCCGUAAACGAUGAGUGCUAAGUGUUAGGGGGUUUCCGCCCCUUAGUGCUGCAGCUAACGCAUUAAGCACUCCGCCUGGGGAGUACGACCGCAAGGUUGAAACUCAAAGGAAUUGACGGGGACCCGCACAAGCGGUGGAGCAUGUGGUUUAAUUCGAAGCAACGCGAAGAACCUUACCAAAUCUUGACAUCCUUUGACAACUCUAGAGAUAGAGCUUUCCCCUUCGGGGGACAAAGUGACAGGUGGUGCAUGGUUGUCGUCAGCUCGUGUCGUGAGAUGUUGGGUUAAGUCCCGCAACGAGCGCAACCCUUAAGCUUAGUUGCCAUCAUUAAGUUGGGCACUCUAAGUUGACUGCCGGUGACAAACCGGAGGAAGGUGGGGAUGACGUCAAAUCAUCAUGCCCCUUAUGAUUUGGGCUACACACGUGCUACAAUGGACAAUACAAAGGGCAGCGAAACCGCGAGGUCAAGCAAAUCCCAUAAAGUUGUUCUCAGUUCGGAUUGUAGUCUGCAACUCGACUACAUGAAGCUGGAAUCGCUAGUAAUCGUAGAUCAGCAUGCUACGGUGAAUACGUUCCCGGGUCUUGUACACACCGCCCGUCACACCACGAGAGUUUGUAACACCCGAAGCCGGUGGAGUAACCAUUUGGAGCUAGCCGUCGAAGGUGGGACAAAUGAUUGGGGUGAAGUCGUAACAAGGUAGCCGUAUCGGAAGGUGCGGCUG